rnacentral:rRNA from 1 species
GAUGAACGCUGGCGGCGUGCCUAAUACAUGCAAGUCGAGCGAACAGACGAGGAGCUUGCUCCUCUGACGUUAGCGGCGGACGGGUGAGUAACACGUGGAUAACCUACCUAUAAGACUGGGAUAACUUCGGGAAACCGGAGCUAAUACCGGAUAAUAUAUUGAACCGCAUGGUUCAAUAGUGAAAGACGGUUUUGCUGUCACUUAUAGAUGGAUCCGCGCCGCAUUAGCUAGUUGGUAAGGUAACGGCUUACCAAGGCAACGAUGCGUAGCCGACCUGAGAGGGUGAUCGGCCACCCUGGACCUGAGACACGGUCCAGACCCCUACGGAAGGCAGCAGUAGGGAAUCUUCCGCAAUGGGCGAAAGCCUGACGGAGCAACGCCGCGUGGGUGAUGAAGGUCUUCGGAUCGUAAAACUCUGUUAUUAGGGAAGAACAAAUGUGUAAGUAACUAUGCACGUCUGGACGGUACCUAAUCAGAAAGCCACGGCGAACUACGU